UACAGAGGGGGCCAGCGUUAUUCGGAAUUAUUGGGCGUAAAGGGCGCGUAGGCGGCCAUGCGUGUCUUCCGUGAAAUCCCUCGGCUUAACCGAGGACGUGCGGAAGAAAACUGCAAGGCUCGAGUCCGGAAGAGGGGGGCGGAAUUCCCAGUGUAGCGGUGAAAUGCGUAGAUAUUGGGAGGAACACCAGUGGCGAAGGCGGUCCCCUGGGCCGGAACUGACGCUGAGGAGCGAAAGCGUGGGGAGCGAACAGG
rnacentral:rRNA from 1 species